AGGAAACAACGGGUGCUGGAGAGGAUGUGGAGAAAUAGGAACACUUUUACACUGUUGGUGGGACUGUAAACUAGUUCAACCAUUGUGGAAGUCAGUGUGACGAUUCCUCAGGGAUCUAGAACUAGAAAUACCAUUUGACCCAGCCAUCCCAUUACUGGGUAUAUACCCAAAUGACUAUAAAUCAUGCUGCUAUAAAGACACAUGCACAUGUACGUUUAUUGCGGCAGUAUUCACAAUAGCAAAGACUUGGAACCAACC
rnacentral:lncRNA from 1 species